GUCAGAGCUCCACCUUACAUCUGACUGUUGUAGCAGGGAAUCUAACAAUGAUAACGAAUAUCACCAGGCUGACUGUGGUGGUCCUGAUGCUGAUUCUUCUGCUUCUCCUGAGUCUGUGGGCGAGGAAGAAGAAAACUCUGAGCUCCACCGCUAGAUCACAAAACCCUGUAGAGAUAGAGUUAGACUCUUGUCCUGUGUAUGAGAACAUCUCAGACCCUGCAGCUCAGACAGAAGACCCAGAGUAGCAGGAAGACCUGGUGUGAAGUCCAGUCAGAUGCAGUUGGACCAGAGGCGGGACUCACCUGAUGGAAACAAAGCAGUACGACAUCGAAACAUCCCUGUGGAGAGCGAGGCUGUGGAGGAUGCGGGGAUGUGGAUACAUUUACCUUCAACUCCAGAAGGUUUUAUGGUCCGUUUUGAGCAGCAGCAGCAGGUAGGAGUCAGCAGCAGCAUGGAGCAGAACCUUUAGAAGAACGUGGUGCUGGCAGCUUAAACUGGACCAUGUCCAGGUGUCAAACAGGAUUUAUUGUUCAGAUCAGCUGAUGCUCAGCUGCUGUCUGACUUACUGAUGUAUAUGCAAGCUUAUUUUCUACUGAAGAGUUAGUUUUAGGCCAUGUUGUGCUUAGGA